CCUACGGGAGGCAGCAGUGAGGAAUAUUGGACAAUGGGCGCAAGCCUGAUCCAGCCAUGCCGCGUGCAGGAAGACGGUCCUAUGGAUUGUAAACUGCUUUUGUACGGGAAGAAACACUCCUUCGUGAAGGAGCUUGACGGUACCGUAAGAAUAAGGAUCGGCUAACUCCGUGCCAGCAGCCGCGGUAAUACGGAGGAUCCAAGCGUUAUCCGGAAUCAUUGGGUUUAAAGGGUCCGUAGGCGGUUUAGUAAGUCAGUGGUGAAAGCCCAUCGCUCAACGGUGGAACGGCCAUUGAUACUGCUAGACUUGAAUUAUUAGGAAGUAACUAGAAUAUGUAGUGUAGCGGUGAAAUGCUUAGAGAUUACAUGGAAUACCAAUUGCGAAGGCAGGUUACUACUAAUGGAUUGACGCUGAUGGACGAAAGCGUGGGUAGCGAACAGGAUUAGAUACCCUGGUAGUCCACGCCGUAAACGAUGGAUACUAGCUGUUGGGGGCAACUUCAGUGGCUAAGCGAAAGUGAUAAGUAUCCACCUGGGGAGUACGUUCGCAAGAAUGAAACUUCAAAGGAAUUGACGGCUUGAGNGNGCGAGNGACGACGAGGGAGAGG
rnacentral:rRNA from 1 species